AACGCGAAGAACCUUACCUGGGCUCGAACGGCUUUGGACCAUCUCUGGAAACAGGGACUUCUCGCAAGAGACUGAAGUCGAGGUGCUGCAUGGCUGUCGUCAGCUCGUGUCGUGAGAUGUUGGGUUAAGUCCCGCAACGAGCGCAACCCUUGUCCUGUGUUGCCAUAAACGGAACUCGCAGGAGACCGCCAGGGAUAACCUGGAGGAAGGUGGGGAUGACGUCAAGUCCUCAUGGCCUUUAUGUCCAGGGCUACACACGUGCUACAAUGGACGGUACAGAGCGCCGCAAACCCGCGAGGGGGAGCCAAUCGCACAAAACCGUUCUCAGUUCGGAUUGCAGGCUGCAACUCGCCUGCAUGAAGCUGGAAUCGCUAGUAAUGCUAUAUCAGAACGAUAGCGUGAAUACGUUCCCGGGCUUGUACACACCGCUAGUC
rnacentral:rRNA from 1 species